rnacentral:rRNA from 1 species
UACGGAGGGUGCAAGCGUUAAUCGGAAUUACUGGGCGUAAAGAGUGCGUAGGUGGUUGUGUGUGUUAGAUGUGAAAUCCAUGGGCUUAACCUGUGAAUUGCAUUUAAAACUGCAUGACUAGAGUGUUGUAGAGGGUGGCGGAAUUUCCAGUGUAGCGGUGAAAUGCGUAGAUAUUGGAAGGAACACCAGUGGCGAAGGCGGCCACCUGGACAAACACUGACACUGAGGCACGAAAGCGUGGGUAGCGAACAGG